UACAGAGGUCUCGAGCGUUAGGCGGAAUCACUGGGCUUAAAGCGUGUGUAGGCGGAUUGCUAAGUACCUUGUGAAAUCCCACGGCUUAACCGUGGAACUGCUUGGUACACUGGCUGUCUUGAGCCACUUAGGGGCAACCGGAACAAACGGUGGAGCGGUGAAAUGCGUAGAUAUCGUUUGGAACGCCAAUGGUGAAAACAGGUUGCUGGGAGUGUGCUGACGCUGAGACACGAAAGCCAGGGGAGCAAACGGG
rnacentral:rRNA from 1 species